GUGUACAACCAUACCAACUUAAAUGUACCUGAUCUUGGAAGCUAAGCAGGGUCAGGCCUGGUUAGUACUUGGAUGGGAGACCAGUGAUAAAGUAUGGUGUGGUGGAUU
ensembl:rRNA 5S_rRNA 5S ribosomal RNA